rnacentral:rRNA from 1 species
CGAGCGAACGGACGAGAAGCUUGCUUCUCUGAUGUUAGCGGCGGACGGGUGAGUAACACGUGGAUAACCUACCUAUAAGACUGGGAUAACUUCGGGAAACCGGAGCUAAUACCGGAUAAUAUUUUGAACCGCAUGGUUCAAAAGUGAAAGACGGUCUUGCUGUCACUUAUAGAUGGAUCCGCGCUGCAUUAGCUAGUUGGUAAGGUAACGGCUUACCAAGGCAACGAUGCAUAGCCGACCUGAGAGGGUGAUCGGCCACACUGGAACUGAGACACGGUCCAGACUCCUACGGGAGGCAGCAGUAGGGAAUCUUCCGCAAUGGGCGAAAGCCUGACGGAGCAACGCCGCGUGAGUGAUGAAGGUCUUCGGAUCGUAAAACUCUGUUAUUAGGGAAGAACAUAUGUGUAAGUAACUGUGCACAUCUUGACGGUACCUAAUCAGAAAGCCACGGCUAACUACGUGCCAGCAGCCGCGGUAAUACGUAGGUGGCAAGCGUUAUCCGGAAUUAUUGGGCGUAAAGCGCGCGCAGGCGGUUUUUUAAGUCUGAUGUGAAAGCCCACGGCUCAACCGUGGAGGGUCAUUGGAAACUGGAAAACUUGAGUGCAGAAGAGGAAAGUGGAAUUCCAUGUGUAGCGGUGAAAUGCGCAGAGAUAUGGAGGAACACCAGUGGCGAAGGCGACUUUCUGGUCUGUA